UCCUUUCACUAGAAACAUGUGUUUCCCAAUUGUCAUUAGUUCCAACGCCCAAAUUGUCAUUUCCAUCCGGACAUUAUUUCUGAAGAAGCAUGUAAGAUUAUAAAGGUAAUCUAAUCUUUACCACCACAGCCAUGGGAAUAGAGACACAUGGAAGAUGGUCACAUGUGCUGGUGACUAACUCUGUGUCAGAAGGCAGGCAGCUCUUGGAUCAAAUCCUGGCACGUCAUUCUUCACCUAUUAUAGUCACCUCAGGGUCUCCUGAAACUGUCGGUUUCCAGAGGGAAGGCAGCCAUGGGCCCACUCCCUUCCCUGAAGCUGGCAGUUUAUCUGGUUCCAUCACUUGAGAAGUCUCACUGAAGAGAAAGCAAGAGCGGACAGAGUGGCGGCAACCUGCGUUGUUCAAAGGUGGAGGAACACAGUUAAUUCUACAAUGAUGGAGAAGGCAAAAUUUGCUUAAUAAUUACUCUAAGGGCAAAUGAAGACAUAUAUGCAGAUUUUGAUUUCAUGUUCAUCCCAGGUGUUUGUAACUCAAGGUUAAGCCUCCAAAUAAAGUCUCAACAAUAAA